rnacentral:rRNA from 1 species
CCUACGGGGGGCAGCAGUGGGGAAUAUUGCACAAUGGGUGAAACCCUGAUGCAGCAACGCCGCGUGAAGGAAGAAGGGUUUCGGCUCGUAAACUUCUAUCGAUCGGGACGAAAGAGAUGACGGUACCUAAAUACAAAGCCCCGCCUAACUACGUGCCAGCAGCCGCGGUAAUACGUAGGGGGCAAGCGUUAUCCGGAAUUAAUGGGUGUAAAGGGAGCGUAGGCGGCAAGGUAAGUAAGAUUGGAAUGCCCGCAGCUUAACUGCGAGGAUUGCCUUUUAAACUAUCUAGCUUGAGUACAGGAGAGGUAAGCGGAAUGCCUAGUGUAGCGGUGAAAUGCGUAGAUAUUAGGAAGAACACCAGUGGCGAAGGCAGCUUACUGGACUGUAACUGACGCUGAGGCUCGAAAGCGUGGGGAGCGAACAGGAUUAGAUACCCUUGUAGUC